rnacentral:lncRNA from 1 species
AAUUAUCUUUAUUUUUAGUUGUUUAUCUAGACAUGCCAAUGGAUAUUUAGGCCACAUUUUGAGCAAAAACCACAAGGUUUUUUUUUCUUUUUUUCCCAAACCUCACAUUUGUGUACACAAAACAACACAAUUUUAAAGGUUUGCUUAAAAGAACAAAGCAUAAGAAAUACAGUGAGAUACAAGUUCAUAACCAAUGUUCCAAUCAGUGAGCAGAUCUGAUUCAACAUGAGAAAAGGUUACAAAACAAGUCUGUGGUUUCUAAGAAGAACUAUCUGGAGACAGUGUUGCAGGACACGCUCCAAGUCCCAUUGGGGAAGCUUUAGGCAGGUAGAAACAGAGCAGGAUUUUCACUCAGCCUAGCAUGGAGUUAUGGGUAGGUCAGGGUUUCAGGGACAAGGGUCUGACCAUUCACAGGUGCCGUAAAAAGGAAAAGCAGACUUUGCCUGUCAGGCCUGGCAGUUGCUACCUAUUCUGUCUCUCUUAAUUUGAUUGUAAUUUUACCUUCAACGCACUAAAAAUAGCCCUUUGAGUCCUUUCUCCUCAAGCAUUGAAAGAAUUAAACUUGAGAAGUCAGUUCUUGAUGGUCCAUGGACUAAGAGAAGAAAGCUAUGAAGAUAAAGUCCACGGAUGAUCCAGCAGCUGUGUCUUCACUAGUAAUUGGAUUCCUUCCAUUGAAAUAUUGCAAGAGAGCCACUAGUAGGCAAGGGGCAAAAAAAGGUUUUCACAUUCUUUAUUGUUAACAAACAGGGAACUCAAAAAAUGUCCAAAUGGCUGAAAAGAGACAAAGGUGUCUCAUUUAUGCACCACAUCUCAUUUUACUUCAGAUUUUUUAUCAUACUAGAAACUGCUUCAUAGCCUUAACUGUUAGAUAUUUGGUAGCUUUUUUCCGUGAGCUCUUUUGCAAGAUCUAACAUACUUUUGCCCUGUAAACAUGGAACUACUAAAAAUGCCUCCAAUCUUAUGUAAAUUAUGAUAUAAAUAUAGUUUAAACAACACAGUCCAUUUCCUAGAGUCAAAGUUGAGGCUCCAGUAGCUAAAACAGCCUCUUCUCUCUUAUCUCUAUCAUUUCUUCAUCAGUAAUUGCUUUCCUUGAUUUGAUCUCAUGUAUAUUAAAAAUAGAUUACUCAAAAGCCCUCUGUAUCACCAAACCAAAAGAAGAGAGGGUUGGAAGCAGAAAUACAUUCAAUAUGUUCUCGUUUGAGGCUUCACCCAGCUGAGAGCUUCAGAGUAUUAAAGCAAUAAAGAAUCAUGUGUUAGUUCAUAGGUAUUAGAGAAAAACAAAAAAAAAAACCCAAAACAAAACCCAAAGUUAGUGUUACGUUUUCACAACGUCCCUUCUUACCCAUAUCAACAAUUUUAACUUAUCACCCAUCCAUUUCACAAGAUUUUCACACUUUCUUCAGUACCAUCUGAUAACCUCUCCUACUUUAAUGAAAGUACAAGCAACUUUCCACAUUUCCCUUCAACCUUAAUUCUGCAAGCCUCAGUCUCUCUUCAGGAACUUCAUACAAUCCAGUCAAGUUUCUAACAUUUUAUUUGUAUGUUAGGAGGACACACACACACAAAAGAGUUGCACUUAGGAAAUGAGAGUCAGCUUGCGAAACAGCUUGAUAGUGGCAGAAACAAUCAUGUUAUCGUUCUCCCACUACCACAUUGUUUAAGGUAAAAAGAGGGGGGCAUUGCCAAUUUUCAUUUCGCAUUAGUUAUGCUAGAAGUUCUAAAGAAAAGGUUUAAUGCACAGAGUUUAGCUGACUUAGAGAAGAAUGCUGUAACAAAUUGAUUUUACGGCCAAGUGUCUGCAGAAAAAAUGGCAACCAAAGUCCAAAGUGACUCUGCUAGCUAGAGCCAUGAUCAACCACAAUAACCUGCCAGGACGGUAAAUUCUACCAGAAAACUGAAAUAGUUUCUUAAAUUAUAUAAACUUCUGCUAAACAGGUGGGAAGUUGUUCACAUGAAAUGAAGGAAAAAGAAAAAUCCAGUUACUAUUAACACCAAAGAAAUGCACGGCAACCAUAAACCAAAGACGCUUUGGUACUGCAGCCAGAACAGACGACAAGUCGUAUAACCACAAGCUUAUCGGCUGGCUUGUGAAAACAGAGUGCAACAUCGUUGUGUUGAAAGUGACUUCAGGCUGGCUGAAGGGUCUUGUGAAUCUGAGGAAACGAUGCUUGUGCCAUAGAUUAAACACUAUGGUCCCAAGCGGAAUGCACGUGAAGUUUCCAAAAUAUUUCCUCAAAGACUUUAUUCAGUUUUGGUUUGUGACCUCAGCUGGAAAGCAGAAAGAUGGACAUGGGAAGGCAGUUCAGAGGGACAUCUGUGAGGAUUUCGGUUGGGCAGCUUUCAGAAGAUGAAAGAUGUUUAAAGUUAAGGCCUUUAUCUGCAAACAAUAGUAUAUUAAUAAACUCUAUACCAUAUUUACAAAUGCAUUCUCUUGUAUUAAAACUAACAGUAUUCUGUUCACAGUGCCAUGUUUAUACAGGUAGCAAUCCCAUAAUACUCUUGUAUUUUGGCAUGGGGAUCAGUAGCGCUUGGUAUUUACAGAAAAUGUACAAGUGUGAAUAUAAACAUGUCACUGAAUCUGAGUUAUUGAUAAAAGACAGAUUGGCUAAUGGUGCAAAGGAAUGAACUGUACAGCACCUUCCCCUCGGAUUGGAUAGGAAACGUGGUUUCUUAAACUG